CGGCUGGCCGCCCCAUCCGGGAGAUUCCAGUAAUGUUUCGCUCAACUUUCCCUGGAGCCUUCGCCCGCAGUCUCCUCAAGGCCCUGCCAGCUUUCACGCACGGUCUCACUGAGGGUGUCAGGCGCCUCCCACACACGUUAGGUUCUGCUACGGCAGUGCCUCACUUCCAGGAGGACGGAGAGGGAGCUUCAAGACACAGAGACACAGAGGAGAAGGCCAUAUGAAGAUGGAGGCAGAGACUGGAGGCGCCAUUGCCAAGCAACACUGCGGAUCACCUGCAGCUGCCAGAGGCUUGGAAAGUGCUUGCCACAGGCCCUCCCUCAGAGCCUCCAGCAGGAACCCACCCUGCUGACACCUUGGCUUCAGGCUUCCAGCCUCCACAGCUGUGGUGAAAUGAAUCACUGUUGUUUUGAGCCACCCAGUUUGUGGCAAUUUGUAUGGCAGUCCUAGGAAAGCUAACAGGCAGUCCAGCCCCUGCCCCUCAACAUUUUGCACACUUUGAGCCCUGAUCCAGGGAUCUUCCCUUUCCCCGGCGACACGGCUCAGCACUGCUUCCCCGGUGGGGCUGCAUCUUCUCAGGACCCACGGCUGCACGGUCUCGAGCCACAGUGCCUGGUUUCUCUCUUGCACCACCGUUGGUAUCUUCUCCCUGUCCUAUCUCUCACAAUCUGUGGAAGUGCUUUGUAUGCAGUGAGCGCUUAAUAAAAGUCACUUUUCUCUCC
rnacentral:lncRNA from 10 species